rnacentral:tRNA from 1 species
CCGCCGGCGGCGCGCUGGCGGCGCUGGGCGGCUGGCGCGCCGCCAGCGCGGGCCCGCGCGCGGCGCAGGCCGCGGCCGCGCCCGCCGA